CAGCAGCCGCGGUAAUACGUAGGGCGCAAGCGUUGUCCGGAAUUAUUGGGCGUAAAGAGCUCGUAGGCGGUCCGUCACGUCGGUUGUGAAAACCCAAGGCUCAACCUUGGGCCUGCAAUCGAUACGGGCGGACUAGAGUACUGCAGGGGAGACUGGAAUUCCUGGUGUAGCGGUGGAAUGCGCAGAUAUCAGGAGGAACACCGGUGGCGAAGGCGGGUCUCUGGGCAGUAACUGACGCUGAGGAGCGAAAGCGUGGGGAGCAAACAGGAUUAGAUACCCUGGUAGUCCACGCCGUAAACGGUGGGUGCUAGGUGUGGGGCCCUUUCCACGGGUUCUGUGCCGAAGCUAACGCAUUAAGCACCCCGCCUGGGGAGUACGGCCGCAAGGCUAAAACUCAAAGGAAUUGACGG
rnacentral:rRNA from 1 species